AUUGAACGCUGGCGGCAGGCUUAACACAUGCAAGUCGAGCGAGCGGCGGACGGGUGAGUAAUGUCUGGGAAACUGCCUGAUGGAGGGGGAUAACUACUGGAAACGGUAGCUACUACCGCAUACCAUCAGAUGUUCCCAGAUGGGAUUAGCUAGUAGGUGGGGUAAUGGCUCACCUAGUCGACGAUCCCUAGCUGGUCUGAGAGGAUGACCAGCAACACUGGAACGGAGAAACGGUCCAGACUCCGACGGGAGGCAGCAGUGGGGAAGAUUGCACAAUGGGCGCAAGCCUGAUGCAGCCAUGCCGCGUGUGUGAAGAAGGCCUUCGGGUUGUAAAGCACUUUCAGCGAGGAGGCGUUACUCGCAGAAGAAGCACCGGCUAACUCCGUGCCAGCCGCCGCGGUAAUAC
rnacentral:rRNA from 1 species